AUACAUUCGAUCUCUCCCUUUUUGGAACUUCUGAAAUAUGAUGCCUAAGGAUUCUUGUAACCUCUGAAUUUUGUAUUGUGGCUUCUAUAGGAAAUCUCUUAACUGUGUCUGUUGCAUUUAUGCUUGAUGCCUGAUUGGCUACUAAAUAAUAUCCAAAUCUGUUCAUUCAUCACAAGCAUGAAAUUGGCAAUUUUGUUGGUCUCAUUGGUUGGCAAUAAUUAUUGUUGUUCUUUAUUGGGUAAAGGGAAAUACCUAGGGUUUCGAUCGUGCGCAAUCCCGACUUCCCAUCGCGUCACGUCUCAUUUCUUUUGUUACCAAGGUAUGAAUGGGUGGUAUCUUAGCCUUCCAGACUAGUCAAAGGGCUUAGUGCACAGCCAGCUUGUGUUGGAGGCCAAUGGAUGUGGGGGUAUCUUCUGGGGGAAGGGAAGAUAUGGAAUCAACUAUUUUCAUGGUCAAACGAAUUCUUGUGUCACUGUCUAAUUACUUGUCCUGUUCAUCUCAUUUUCUGAAAGACAUACAUAUAAUACUCCUUAUGAGUGUCCUCUAGCCGUGUCUACUUUUAGUUUGGGCCCCAAAAACAGAAUGUGCGAACUUAAAGUUCAGACUUUCAGGUUCCUUGCACAUCUUGUGAACUGAGGUUACAAUCCCUCAGCUCAAAAUUAUAUAUUAGAUGAUCGUUCUAGCUUAAUUUGUCUAUCUCGUGCUGCCCAUUAACUUCUACAUCCUUAAAUGGCAUUUGUUAUGUGCAUUCAUUUUAGAUAAACAUCACCUUUCCUUUUUUGUGUUAUUGGCUAUUGCUAGUGUUUGUAUUAGCAUUUUUAGUGCCUAAUUAUAAUUUACACGCGCCUUGCUCUGAAGGCAACUCAUCUGGAGAAAGUUGUCAGAUUCUGCAAGGAUCAAGUAGAUCAUGUUAUAGUCUUAAAUUAGAUAUGUUCAUAAAUAGAUUGUGGGCUUGCUGUUUUGAACACACAUCACAUCAUACAGCAUGCACUCAGCUUUGACCAGAAUGAAAGGACUUAAAUCCUAAGAUCAAAGUUGGUUAAUUUCUCUUUGUUGUAGUUAUAGCUCUGAGAUCAGGGGAUUGUACAUCUCUAGCCCUUAGCUGUUUUGUUGUUCUGCUUUGCCAGGCUUCAGAAUUUUCUUUUAUUCUCUGCUUUGCAUGCUUUUUUAGUGAAGAUUGUAAUUGUAAAGCUAUAAAGGCCGGACAACUCGGAUCACAGUUAUGUGACCACUUUCUAUCUCUGAGUCCCAUUUGCAGCGGAUCAGUGCUGUUAAUCGCAGAAAAUAGUGGAAAGCCAAAAAUCCGCUUUGUCACGCCCUCAGAGUGGAAAAUAGCUGAUAGCGGUUUUCACGACAUUUGAAUUGGAACAUUUACAGCAGCAAAAAUAGCCUUUCGCAGUCACAUGGCUAAGAAAGCUCUCAGUAUAUGUCAAUUGCUGAUAGUUUGAAGAUGCAUGGCAUUUUAAGCAGCAUAUUUUGACAUUUGGAUGUUUCAGAAUCCAAGGCUAAGCAAAUGAAGCAAAUUAGACAAAAGAAGAAGAAGAAGAACAAGCAUUGGCAUUGGAAUGCUAGAAUUAGAUGAAAGCAAAUUGGAAAAAACCUUAGUGAGAAUCAGAUGGCUGGAAUCUUACUCCAGGCAAGUACCUAGACACAAAUUCUCGAGCCAAAGCUUGGAGCUCCCCAUCCUCAAGUUGUUGAUCUGAUGUGUUGAAAAAGUUGCUCAACUCUAAUGAUGUUGAAUGUGGCUGUAGAGGGUCAAAGUGCAUAUACAUGUUAGAGGCACUUUGCAAGUCAACAUUUGUUGCCAAGUGAUCUGAGGAGGAAUGAAAGCUUGUUGGCGAAGAGGAUUGAGGGUUUUGAAGAGAAGGAGCUACUGGGAUUGGGAGGGGCUGCAUUGUUGCCAGACGUGCUUGAACAUAGGUUAACUCUGCCUGCAAGUUCAUGACCUGCGCCACACAAAUUCAGAGCAAACAAAUCAUUGUGUUCUAAUAGGUUAUACAUAUAAAAAGAGUUUGGUUGUGAAGUUUGUCAUCUCUCUAUAGUUGUUUGUUCAAUUCAUUUGACAGAAAUCGGCUACACACCGCAAGUGCUGAUCGUGCAUUUAGGAUUUUGUUCUUCCAAAGAGAUUCGCUUAAAAGGUAAAGUAAGUCACUACUACCGUUGAUGAACACCAUAA